UAGGCAUAUCGCGACCUUAUUGAUUGGCGCUUGGGCCUUGUGCAACCUUGCUGGUCGGCGCCCGGCCCUCGCGUGACCCCGUUGGUCGGAGCCUAGGUCUCGUGCAACUUGCCCGGAUGCACCUUUGCCUCUCGCGACCUUGCUAAUUAUCUAGUCGCGCCUCUUGCGAUCUUACUAGUUGUCCCUUGGCUUUUGUGCGACAUUGCUGGUCAUGCCCCUACCGAUUCUUACAUGUCCGGCCAGCCUAAGGUGUGAUGAAGGAAAUCAUGGAGGACAUAAUGGCUAUGGUGGCCAUGGUGGUGGCCAAGGCAUUGGAACAAGAAGAGGCCAAGGUCCGUGACUGUCUUAUGGACAAUCCCUCAUUUCUAUUGAUAGCUUAGGGAUUGUUUGAACUUGUCAUUACUGUGGCAAACCUGGUCAUAUUCAGAAAUUUUGCUACAAGUUACAUGGAGACCAAGGAAAUAACAAUAGUUUGCAAAUGUCGUAUCUAGCACCGACUCUUCGUCUGUCAUAGUCUUCCGAAGGCAAGGUAGUGAUUAUGUCCGAUAAGGAAUUUGCUCGGUAUCACCGGUUUCAGAUUUCACAGCCUACUUCUUCUACUACUACUUUAGUACGGACAUGUAAUGCUACUACAUGCAUAUCAGCUGCUUCUUGCCCUUGGAUCAUUGAUUUAGGGUCCUUUGAUCAUAUAUCCGGUCUUUUAGGUAUAUUUCCCUCUCACUCCAUUACCAUCCAUUGAUACCCUCGCUAAUUUAAGGGGGUUAGCGUAAUUCAUCCAAAUCCUUCUUUGUCAUUGUCGUCGGUGAUUUGUCUUCCUCAAUUUCCAUUUAACCUCAUGUCUAUUAAUAAAUUAACCAACAAAUUUUAGUGUUCAGUGACAUUCUAUCCCGGUUUUUGUAUUUUCAAGAAUCUGACUAUGAAGAGGACAAUUGGUAAAGGACAUGAUGUGGGGGGACCGUAUGUGCUUGAAGAUGCUCCUUCCAUUGCAUGCCCUAGUACUCGCUUCCCUACAUCGAUUCAUUAUUGUCUUGGCCAUCCUUAGCUACAUAGUCUUCAGAAGUUAGAUUCUAGUUUUUAGUCUCUUUCUAGCUAGAGUGUAAGUCAUGUCAACUUGGCAAAUUGCAUCGUGUCGGUUACUUGCCUUGAGUCAUUAAAUGAGUAGUUUCUCCUUUUUCAUUUGUUCAUUCGGAUAUAUGGGGUCCUUGUAAUGUGGUUUCCAAUUUGGAUUUUAAAUACUUUGUUACUUUUGUUGACGACUAUUCCAGAGUCACUUGGCUAUACUUAAUGAAAAGGUGUUCAAAAUUGUUUUCUA